rnacentral:rRNA from 1 species
ACGCUGGCGGCAGGCCUAACACAUGCAAGUCGAGCGCUCGUAGCAAUACGAGAGCGGCAGACGGGAGAGUAACACGUGGGAACGUACCCUUCGGUUCGGAAUAACCCAGGGAAACUUGGGCUAAUACCGAAUACGUCCGUAAGGAGAAAGAUUUAUCGCCGAGGGAUCGGCCCGCGCCCGAUUAGCUAGUUGGUGAGGUAAUGGCUCACCAAGGCGACGAUCGGUAGCUGGUCUGAGAGGAUGAUCAGCCUCACUGGGACUGAGACACGGCCCAGACUCCUACGGGAGGCAGCAGUGGGGAAUAUUGGACAAUGGGCGCAAGCCUGAUCCAGCCAUGCCGCGUGGGUGAUGAAGGCCUUAGGGUUGUAAAGCCCUUUCGGCGGGGAAGAUAAUGACGGUACCCGCAGAAGAAGCCCCGGCUAACUUCGUGCCAGCAGCCGCGGUAAUACGAAGGGGGCUAGCGUUGCUCGGAAUCACUGGGCGUAAAGCGCACGUAGGCGGGUUCUUAAGUCAGAGGUGAAAUCCUGGAGCUCAACUCCAGAACUGCCUUUGAUACUGAG